rnacentral:rRNA from 1 species
UACAGAGGUCUCAAGCGUUGUUCGGAUUCAUUGGGCGUAAAGGGCGCGUAGGCGGCCAGUGCAAGUCAGUUGUGAAAUCUCCGAGCUUAACUCGGAAAGGUCAACUGAUACUGCUCGGCUAGAGUGCGGAAGGGGCAACUGGAAUUCUUGGUGUAGCGGUGAAAUGCGUAGAUAUCAAGAGGAACACCUGCGGCGAAGGCGGGUUGCUGGGCCGACACUGACGCUGAAGUGCGAAAGCUAGGGGAGCGAACGGG